AUUGAACGCUGGCGGCAGGCUUAACACAUGCAAGUCGAGCGGGGAAGGGUGGCUUGCUACCUAACCUAGCGGCGGACGGGUGAGUAAUGCUUAGGAAUCUGCCUAUUAGUGGGGGACAACAUUCCGAAAGGAAUGCUAAUACCGCAUACGCCCUACGGGGGAAAGCAGGGGAUCUUCGGACCUUGCGCUAAUAGAUGAGCCUAAGUCGGAUUAGCUAGUUGGUGGGGUAAAGGCCUACCAAGGCGACGAUCUGUAGCGGGUCUGAGAGGAGGAUCCGCCACACUGGGACUGAGACACGGCCCAGACUCCUACGGGAAGCAGAAGUGGGGAAUAUUGGUCAAUGGGGGGAACCCUGAUCCAGCCAUGCCGCGUGUGUGAAGAAGGCCUUUUGGUUGUAAAGCACUUUAAGCGAGGAGGAGGCUACCGAGAUUAAUACUCUUGGAUAGUGGACGUUACUCGCAGAAUAAGCACCGGCUAACUCUGUGCCAGCCGCCGCCGUAAGAC
rnacentral:rRNA from 1 species